rnacentral:SRP_RNA from 1 species
GCCCGGGUAAGUCCUACACGACCAGCUCCCCCCAAACUCCGUCAGGUCUUGAUCGAAGCAGCGGUAGGGGGUUGUAGCGGUGCGAUGCGGGUCUUA